GCUGGAGGUGCAGUUUAUGACUGGCCCCUGUAGGUGCCCCGCCCGGCCCUGGUUCUCCACACUCUCAGAUGGAUUCCUGUGAACAGAGACUUUUCUAGGUCUGCCUAGAUCUGCCUUCCCAGCAGGGUGGUCCCUGGUAUGCCCACCCCAGGGAUCUGGAUCCUUGUUCCUGGUACCUAGCCAUCUAGAUUUUUUCCCUAUGGAUCCUCCGUUCAUGGGAGUUAGCAGCCCAUCUUAAGAAAAUGGCCAUUUUAAGUGGCUAGAGUUGAUCUUAGAAUUCAAGAGGAGGAGGGGAAGACAGGAUGACCAACAGGUGGCUUAUGGCCCAGAGCGUCCUGUUAUUAAUCCAACGUUGGAGUGUAGAAGCCAGUGUUCUAGGAAAGUGAACCAAUGCGUGCUUUGGACAAGGACAAGACUGGCAAUAGGAAGCAAAAGGAAUAGAAGUGGGACUAAAUCCAGAGAGAAAUAACGAGCUGAGACCUUCAAUACGGCACAAAUCAAUCAAUGCUUAUUGAGAAGCUACUGCCUGCAAGACUCUUCUGCUACUCUGCCAUCCCAGGGCCCGUGUGCUGUGAGACACUGUCGGGGAGACAAAUAAAACUGCUCAAGGCCCUGCUGUGAGUGGGCGAGGAUAGACGGAGAGGGUCUGUGCUCCUGAGGGAGCAACAGCCUGAGAGAGAGUGUAUAGGAGGUAAGUGAAGGCGGGACAAGGCGCUGGGAGCUGAUUGAAGAAGAGCUCCAGAGCCCGGAUGGUCCAAGGACUCCUGGGCUCCUGGCUAGACCCUGACUGAAAGGGUUCCAGCAUGCUGGGAUGCCUAGCCCAAGACCACUCAUUUGAGGGAUGACAUGAAGCAAGUCACCAGGUCUCUCUCCCUGACCGGAAUAACUGCAGCGACGAGGUCAAUGUAUCUUUCCAGACCUGUUCCAGGCGCAUAGAAAAGAUAAGGAACCCACUAUGUGCCAGGUUUUGUCCCAGGCUCUGAGGAUGCAGAAGUGAGCAAAAGAGACAAAGAUCCUUGUCCUCAAGUCUUCACAGAGCUUAUUCUCUAAAGGGAAAAGACAGAUAAUCAGCAUAGUAGGCUCCCUCUGGAUGCAGCAUUGAGAAUAGACUAGAGGUGAAUAAAAACAAAAGCAUGGAAACCAAGAAGCUAUGCAGCGUAAUGAUGACGGUGGCAAGGACGAGUGUGGUUACAAUGGAGGUGGUGAGAAGUGAUCAGAUUCCAGGGUGAGCACAGAGGAAAGGCCAUGUGAGGACACAAAGAGAAAGCGGCCAUCUACAAGCCGGAGAGAGAGCUCUCACCACAAUCCAAACCCUGCUGGAAACUUGAUCUUAGAUUUCCCAGCCUCUAGAACUGUGAGAAAAUAAACUCCUAUUGUAUAAGCC
rnacentral:lncRNA from 1 species